UACGAAGGGAGCUAGCGUUGUUCGGAAUCACUGGGCGUAAAGCGCACGUAGGCGGAUGUGCCAGUCAGGGGUGAAAUCCCGGAGCUCAACUCCGGAACUGCCUCUGAUACAGCACGUCUUGAGUCCGGAGGAGGUGGGUGGAAUUCCUAGUGCAGAGGUGAAAUUCGUAGAUAUUAGGAAGAACACCGGUGGCGAAGGCGGCCCACUGGUCCGGUACUGACGCUGAGGUGCGAAAGCGUGGGGAGCAAACAGG
rnacentral:rRNA from 1 species